AAAAUAGGUCUGUACAUUUUUGAGCACCCAAAGUGGUAAGAGACAUUCUUGAAAACAGCUUAAAAAUUUCUGUAGAUACCACCACAAAUAAUCCACACAAUACUUCAACAAGCAUUUAUUAAACGCCUACUAUGUGCUCAGCACUAUACUAGGCACUCGGGGGUGCAGAGAUACAAAUGUAAAAGUUAUUAUUCCUGCCCUCAAGGAGCUUACAAUUUAAUUUUGGAAAUAAAUACAAAUAUGAAACUGUAACACAGAGUGCUAGAAAAUAAUUACAAAGCAACAUAUUAGUAAGUACAUGGACCACAGUACAAACUCAAAAGAUAAGUGCUGAGGCAGCACAGAAUGAGGGAGGUCAUCGCAUGAGGUGAUGUCAAUCAGGGAGAGCUCAGUCAGAAGAUAUAAAGGAAGAAAGGCUUUGAAGGGAGUGAUGAACAUGAGCUGGGACCAAAGAGCAAUCUAAGCAAAAAGAAUAGCAUGAGAAAGGCACAGAGGCAAGAGCUUGUAAGACAUCAGUAGAAGGCUGUAGGAAGUUUGAAUCUGUUGAAUCAAGGUGAAUAUGCUAGAGAGUAAUGAAGGCUGAUGAAUAUUAGGCAUAGAGGUAAUGGAGAAUUUGGAACACCACUGCUCCAUAGGAAUUAUCUACUGGGUGUUACUUAGUGAAAAUGAAAUUUUACAAUAGAGAUAUUGUAAAAAUGGGUGUUUGAGGAGGAUCGUCUUUGAAAAAUUAUCUACUGGGUGUUACUGAAAAUGAAAAUUUUACAAUACGGAUAUUGUAAAAAUGGAGUUUGAGGAGGAGCACCUUAGAAACUUUAUACAAGAUGGGGAUCCUGGGAGCAAGGAAAUUGGAAAAAAAAGAAUUACAGUAACCUGGGCCUCAGAUCUACAUGAAAAGCUAUAAUGGGAUGAGAGAAAUGGGAGAUCAAGCCUCAAGGAGAAAACUGAUUAAAAACUGGACUGACAGCAAGUUUUUGGACAGGUACCUGUGGAAAAUUCCAAAAGUCACAAACUGACCCACAGGGUGGGAAAAAUGAAGUCAUUCGAAUACAAAUAGUAGGUAUAAACAAUCAAAAUGGAUAAAUAGGAGUAUAGAAAAUGAAGUGAAUAAAAGACAGGGAGAUUAUUCUCAGUGGAGAAGAGGAGAAAGGGGAGUGGGUGGAAAGAUCAACUAAAAAAAGAAAGACAGAUAUUAGAGAAAAAGGAUCCCACAAGCCAAAGGAGGGAGAAUUCAACAAUAUAAAAUAUAAAUUAGAUCAAAAAAGACAAGAAAUAAUAAUAAAAAAAGGCCUUAUUAUUUGUCCACUGGUGAGUCUAAGAACAUUUCACUGGAAUGCUAAGUAUGAAAGCCAGUAAAAAGAAGUUUUAAGAACAGAUUAAUGAAAAAGGGGGGUUGAAAAAUCAAAGAUAUGUUUGAAAAACCAUGAACAAUAGAGGAGAAACAGAAUGGUAGUUGGAAAUGGGCAAUGAGGAUGAAAGCAUUUCACAUUUUAUGCUGUAGAUGAACUUACUAUUGUCAUCCUAACUGACCAUCUGCCUGGCCUGGUACAUGGAUAUUUCAUUUCCCUCCACAAUUCUACUUUCCCUUUGGCAGUUUGGAGAAAAAUAUAUUUGAAUUUAUUAUUGCUUUAUCCUCCCAAUUACUCUGUUAAAUAUGUUUUGUUUGCACAAUUUAGCUUUGUAGUACUACAAAGCAUCAACACUUAAAAAUGAUAUAAUUGUAACCCCAAAAAGCAUUUUCCACCAAUUUUCCAGUAAUUGUAAUGUAUUUGCACUCUACUGCACAUUCUUUUCCCCAGUACCUCUCAUGACAAGCGCUACAUAUUUUUAAAAAGCUGGUUAGAAUUACCAUGUUCAUUAUACACACCUUAGCACAGUAGUCAGAACAGGCUCUAGAAUCAAACUGUGUGGGUCAGAAUCAGUUUUAUCACAUACUGGCUGGGUGAUAUUGGUCAGCUCACUCAACUAAGCCUCCGUUUCCUCAUUUAUAAAAUGGGGGAUAAAAUAAUACCUAUUGAUAUGGUUUGGCUGUGUCCCAUCCAAAUCUCAUCUUGAAUUGUAGCUCCCACAAUUCCCACGUGUCGUGGGUGGGACCAAGUGGGAGGUAAUUGAAUCACGGGGGCAGAACUUUCCUGUGCUGUUCUUGUGAUAGUGAAUAAGUCUCACAAGAUCGGACGGUUUUAUAAAGAGUUCCCCUGCACAAGUUCUCUCUUUGCCUGCUGCCAUCCAUGUAUAAGACAUGAUUUGCUCCUCCUUGCCUUCCACCAUGAUUGUGAGGCGUCCCCAGCCAUGUGGAACUGAGUCCAUUAAACCUCUUUCCUUUAUAAAUUACCCAGUGUCAGGUAUGUCUUUAAUAGCAGCAUGAGAACAGACUAAUACAUUUAUCAUGAGCCUGAGAAAGGCAUAACAGGGUUGGGCACAUAGUAAGUGCUCAAUAAACGUCGGCUAUUAUUAUUUGGAGACUCAGAACCAAGAGUAAAGUUAACUGCUCUGUUUGGGAAUCAACCACCAUAUAUUCAUCACAUUUAUGUCGUCUCUCUUGUGUGG
rnacentral:lncRNA from 10 species